UAAUAUUACAGAUAAUACUGUUUUACACUUAAGAUUUGAUAGUGAUAUUAAGCGUGAUGUAAGCACGCCUGCUUAAGUGGGAAGGGCCUAUAAGAAGGCUCUUUUUUUAUUUAUA
rnacentral:sRNA from 1 species